rnacentral:rRNA from 1 species
AGGACGAACGCUGGCGGCGUGCCUAACACAUGCAAGUCGAACGCUGUCCAUUCGGUGGCAACACUGAUGAAGACGGAGUGGCGAACGGGUGAGUAGCACGUGAGCAACCUGCCCCGAAGACCGGGACAACACCGGGAAACCGGUGCUAAUACCGGAUGCCCCCACCGGGCCGCAUGACCUGGUGAGGAAAUGGAUUCCGCUUCGGGAGGGGCUCGCGGCCUAUCAGCUUGUUGGUGGGGUAAUGGCCUACCAAGGCUUCGACGGGUAGCUGGUCUGAGAGGACGAUCAGCCACACUGGGACUGAGACACGGCCCAGACUCCUACGGGAGGCAGCAGUGGGGAAUCUUGCGCAAUGGGCGAAAGCCUGACGCAGCAACGCCGCGUGAGGGACGAAGGCUUUCUGAGUUGUAAACCUCUUUCAGCAGGAACGAUAGUGACGGUACCUGCAGAAGAAGCACCGGCAACUACGUGCCAGCAGCCGCGGUAA